GUGUGUGAUGAAUCGUUUUUUGCUUUGAAAAUGUGUAGUGGAAGUGUUUUUGCUGCUUCUGGAAGUGUGAAUUGAAGUUGUCCUGGAAAUGAUUUUUUCUGAUUUGGUGUUUUCUGUUGAUUUGGAUUCCGAAAAUUUUGGGAACUGUUUAGUAGCUUUUCUGCUUUCAAAAAUAGAAAAUGUUUCUUUUCUAUUUUAUUUUAUUUUUAAAUUCAGAAGCGUAAAUAUUUUGAAAGUUUUUUUUUUUUUUAAUUUUGUUUUGGAUUCGGAAAACUUGCCUUCUCAGUGAUGUGGUACAGAAUGGAGGUCAAAUUUCCGAUUCGAUUUGCGUUAAGGUAGUGUUUUUGGGAAAAUUUAAUUACAAAGUAGUAAUUUCUUUACUGGGUUGAGUUAAUUGAAUGCAGAAUGCAAAUAUUGGUUAGGUUUCUGUUUGAAGGUGUAGUUUCUGGUGGAAUUCAAUACUUUGUGAUUGAUUAGAUACUAAAAUGGAAACAAUUUUAUUUGGUGUUGAUUGUUAAAACUACAUGAAUACCGUGUAGACUGUGGAGUGAAGCAUAUUUGAUUGUGGAUCAAGAAACCUAUGGUUAAUUUUGAGGAAUGGGCACAAUCUCGGUUCCCAUUAUCCCUUGUCUUGCUUUAGGGUAUUUCAUCCUUGCAGGGUACUUCUCUUGAUAUAUUUUGCCUUCAGGACGUCUAUCUCACUCUUUCACAGUUCCUAGCUCCAAGACUAGGGGAAGAAGGCAUAGAAGGCUUGCUAGCAUAUCGCAUAUCGGACAUGGAAGAAUCAAACCUCUCCAUAAGCGUACGGAUGGUAAGGUAACAAGUAAACCAAUUACUAUCGAAAUUAUGACCAAAAUGGGAAGCCUUAGGUGAAAAACCAUAAUAUGCCCUGAGGAAUUCCUACCAGCAGACUUCCCUGUAGGUGCUCCAUUUUAUUUUCCCAUUGAGGCCGAACCUAAACUUGUGCUCGAGAGAUAGCUGUCCAUACACUAAUAAGGGAGGUGAUCCAGCCGCACCUUCCAGUACGGAUACCUUUUUACGACUUCACUCUAGUCACUAGCCCUGCCUUCGGCAUCCCCCUCCUUGUGGUUAAGGUAACGACCUCGGGCAUGGCCAGCUUCCAUAGUGUGACGGGCGGUGUGUACAAGGCCCUUGAGGAUUUGUUCUAUGUUAGGAUUUUUAGGAUUGAAUUUUGGUUUGCCUGGCUUUUGAGGAAUGAGCUUUGUUUUAGCUUCUUUGAUUUUGUGUAUGAAGAAUGAGUGCUCUUAACCUGUUUGUGGAGUUGAUUCCGAGUUCUCUGAGCCCAAUUCUAUUAGCAUUUUGGUUGAUCAUGGGUACCAUUCAUUAUCAUCCCUUGAAUUGGUGGGUUUAGUCAUGACCUAUGCUUGAUUACUAUUUGUUUUAUUAUUAUUUUAUUCACUUCACCAGUCUAGGUUGGGUUUAGAAUCCUGGUUUUUGAUUGGGCAAAGAAGACUUGACCUUUUAUCAAUACCAAUGGACUACCUCACGUUGAAUUAUUAUUAUUUUAUUUUAUAUUCUGUUUACUUAUAUUUUUCUUGAUUUUCUUACUAAAGUAGUGAAUUUAUUUCAAAAUCUUAUUAGAAACACAAUAGGGGUAUACAAUCUUCUUUGUAUUUGGUAUAUAGACGGAAGACCAAACUUGUAAACAUUAUAUGACAUUUCCUUAUCUUUUGGGAAACAAUUAGUUGUGGUCCCACUUUCACUGGCAGUGUAUGUUGUAGUAUCUGUGUCCCAAAAUGUUAGUUGUCACAAGUGGACUAAUAUGUGGUGGCCAGCAAGUUUUGGGGAUAUUUUUGAUACCGCAUUUGUCUUAUUUUUGUCUUGAAAGUCUUUGGAUUCCAUAGGAUCUUGGAGAAUUUAAAGGAGAGUAGUACAGAAAGAAAAUAUGGGGGAAAACAGAGGAAAGACAAAGUGAAGGAAAACAGAAUAAGUUUAAAUUCAAUACAUGUUUUCUCACAUGUUGCUGUAAAUUUAUUUUUAUCCUUUCAUCUUCUAUAUAAAUAUUGAAAAUGCUUUAACUUUUUAAGAAAAUUUCAUUAUAUUUGAUUUUUCUUAAUAUUUAUCACGGUAAGCCAAAUAUAGAAUUUGAGAUUCCUUCCUUAGUACUUUCGUGGUCCACAUGGAGCCUUAAAAUAUUAAAAUUAUGAAUUGUGAUGAUCUUUCUUCUCCUUAUCAAAAUUUGGAGAAACCUUGUGGUUUGCAACUCCAUUUUGUUGGUUUUGUAGUACCUGCCUCUAGGCUUCAUAGAUUAGAGAUUAUUUUACAUCAAUUGUACUCAAUUGGUUACUGGUUAACAAAUUGUUAGUUUUUGGACUCUAUCACUAUAUGCUCUGUACUUCUUUCCCUUGAGUUUUUAUACUAAUUUACUUAUUCACCAUCCUAAGGCUCCUAAGAGCUGACUUGUGCUGUUUCAUUCUCCUGGAAAUUUGGCGUCCUCUUAGUAAUCUAUGUAGUUGUUGGGUUCAGUCUUACCAUUUUCAGUUUCACACACAUAAGAAGUGGUUUGUUAUGUUUAUGGAAAUGUCUCUGAGAUGGAAUGACAUCUGAAGUACUGAUGCCCAUUGAAUCGUGUUUUGGCGUCCUAGUUCUGGUCCCCAUAAUUGAAGGUUGAAAAUAAUGACUGAAGUGUCUGUUUCCCCCACAGUCAAGAUUCAGAUAGCUAGUUGUGUUUUCCAACUUCUUUCAACUUUUUGUACGUAUAUUCUUCCCAGAUUUAUUAAGUAUUUAAUCAUUGUGAUGGUUUGAAUGGAUGUGUAGGCAAAUGAAUCAGAGACUGGACCACUCUUUGAGUGAGAUAUAUCUCAUAUGCAGAAAAAUAAAUCAUCUGUAUUUUUUCUGGAACUAAAUUGAGUUAGAUUUCACCCAAUAUAC